CGGCAGCACGUGUAGCAAUACAUGGUGGCGAGUGGCGCACGGGUGCGUAACACGUAUGUAACCUACCUCUAACAGUGGCAUAACAAUGAGAAAUUAUUGCUAAUUCCGCAUGUGGUUAAUUUGAGGCAUCUUAGAUUAACUAAAGAUUUAUCGGUUAGAGCUGGGCAUGCGUCCCAUUAGCUAGUUGGUGAGGUAACGGCUCACCAAGGCAUCGAUGGGUAGGGGCUCUGAGAGGAUUGUCCCCCACACUGGUACUGAGACACGGACCAGACUCCUACGGGAGGCAGCAGUAAGGAAUAUUGGGCAAUGGACGCAAGUCUGACCCAGCCAUGCCGCGUGAAGGAAGACGGCCCUAUGGGUUGUAAACUUCUUUUCUCAGGGGGUAAACUCCGGAACGUGUUCCGGACUGAAAGUACCUGAGGAAUAAGCAUCGGCUAACUCCGUGCCAGCAGCCGCGGUAAUACGGAGGAUGCGAGCGUUAUCCGGAUUCAUUGGGUUUAAAGGGUGCGCAGGCGGGUAUAUAAGUCGGAGGUGAAAUUCUGAUGCUCAACAUCAGCCGUGCCUUCGAUACUGUAUAUCUAGAGUCAAGUUGGAGUAGGCGGAAUGUGUUGUGUAGCGGUGAAAUGCUUAGAUAUAACACAGAACACCGAUCGCGAAGGCAGCUUACUAAACUUUGACUGACGCUCAUGCACGAAAGCGUGGGGAUCAAACA
rnacentral:rRNA from 1 species